CGUUUCUAUCAGCGAAUCAGUCAUUUCAAUUUGACUCUUCUGAAAAUCAACAAUUUUAUUUUACACGUGGAGUACGCCCUGUAAGUUCCAUCUAAAAAACGAAACUUCGCCGUCGUAUCUUUUAAAUUAAUAGUAUAAAAAAAAAAAAAAAUUCGUUCACGCCACAAUGUAGAGUCCACUGUAUCCUACAAUUUACAUGUAAACAAAUUGUUCGUAUCGUCAAUAGUUAUCGAAAUAUGCGUCUGUCGCACUUUACCGUGGACAAAUGAAUAAUUUUGCGUUACCUUAGGGAGAUUGAUUUUGUGUGUACUUUGGUUAUUUGAAAAUGUGGUUCCUGAAGCUUGCGAAGGGCCCCUGUAGUCAGAGGUCAUUCUGUGUUUUGUUGCACAAGGCGCAACCACUCGAACACUGCGCUCCACUUGUUUGAAACUCUUUAAUUUAUAUUUCUGAUCAGAGUUCACAGUGUAACGAGACUGUAUUGCGUCAACGUUACUGUUUGUAUGCGGCACUCGCAGACUGUUUAUACAGUUGUUUAAUGGUAUUGCAUUUGUAUUUUCGAAUAAUUUUUUUUUUUUUUUUUUUUUUUUUUUUAUCAAAAUUUACCCCCUCGGAAUUAAAAAGAAAUUUUAACCAACCUCCAACGGUAGGUUACAUAUCUGUCCAAUGGACUCAUGCUUUUACCGAAAUUAGUUUUUCGCAAAGGGAAACAAAUGUCGGGGGUUGAAAGGUAACGUUCGUCCUAGCGCGUAUCUGUGUCAAAGCGAGCGAAAGGUACCUUGUGUACACUAAUAUUAUAAUGUACGAACGGCUUUAUCUGUGUACAUGGUUAACACAUUUGAAAAUAAUGACUCGGUGUAUGAAGGUUUUAAUACCUCAUUUACUUAGUCGAUGAAACGGCACGUGGGUCAAUAUACAUAGAAAUGUAAAAACGUUUUCUUUUGUUAAAAUGAUCAUAUAACGAGAGCGAUCAUAAAGCGACAUGCUUUGCAUAUUUGAUUGUUCUUUUACAUAAUAUAGAUUAAACAUUAUCGAGCGGCCAAUAUUUCCGCCCACUAAGAUAAAAAAUAUCAGCUACAUACUAGCCGCCGGUGAAGUCUCAACUAAUUGUUCUCAUAUUGUCGAUAUUUCCAGAAAACGUGGUUCUAAUUGUAUCACGUAUAUCGUCAUUUCUUCUUUGCUUGAAUAGACAUAGAAAAAUCAUGAAUUGGUGAAACUAGGUGACGAGUAUGAAGAACUUCUCUAUUCAAUAGGAGGAAUAACGAUAAUAGAGUUCCUGUUACCUUAUCGAUUAAUCGAUAUUACUAUUAGCAAAUGGGAGGACUAUUCGAUACUAAAUCAUGGUAAAUUGACCGUACAUGGUAAAUUAUUAACCCUGUGGUGUGGCGCGCCGGAAUAUCACUUUUGUCUUAAUAUCAUAGACAAUGUUAAAGAUAGGGCCAUGCAAUUUACAAUUGGUGUAAAUUAAUAUGCGUUAUUGUAAGAGAAAUAUAUGGAAGAAUCACAUAAUUGUACGUUUUGUUGAGCGCAAGACCAAAUAAUAAAUGAUGUAAUAUAAUAUACAUAU